rnacentral:rRNA from 1 species
CAGUAGCCGCGGGAAUACGAAGGGUGCAAGCGUUACUCGAAAUUACUGGGCGUAAAGCGUGCGCAGGCGGUUUUGUAAGACAGGCGUGAAAUCCCCGGGCUCAACCUGGGAAUGGCGCUUGUGACUGCAAAGCUAGAGUGCGGCAGAGGGGGAUGGAAUUCCGCGUGUAGCAGUGAAAUGCGUAGAUAUGCGAAGGAACACCGAUGGCGAAGGCAAUCCCCUGGACCUGUACUGACGCUCAUGCACGAAAGCGUGGGGAGCAAACAGGAUUAGAUACCCCAGUAGUCCCUGUCUCUUAUAC